rnacentral:rRNA from 1 species
UGGGGAAUAUUGCACAAUGGGGGAAACCCUGAUGCAGCGACGCCGCGUGAGCGAAGAAGGCUUUCGAGUCGUAAAGCUCUGUCCUAUGAGAAGAUAAUGACGGUAUCAUAGGAGGAAGCCCUGGCUAAAUACGUGCCAGCAGCCGCGGUAAUACGUAUGUCACAAGCGUUAUCCGGAUUUAUUGGGCGUAAAGCGCGUCUAGGUGGUUAUGUAAGUCUGAUGUGAAAAUGCAGGGCUCAACUCUGUAUUGCGUUGGAAACUGUAUAACUAGAGUACUGGAGAGGUAAGCGUAACUACAAGUGUAGAGGUGAAAUUCGUAGAUAUUUGUAGGAAUGCCGAUGGGGAAGCCAGCUUACUGGACAGAUACUGACGCUGAAGCGCGAAAGCGUGGGUAGCAAACAGG